rnacentral:tRNA from 2 species
GGGCCGUUAGCUCAGUUGGAUAGAGCACCUACCUUCUAAGUAGGAGUGGGCGCGUUCGAGCCGCGCACGGCCCGCCG